AGUCUUCUAUCUAUUUCUUUCUAGAUUGUUCCCACCGCCAUAACUUCUCAAUCUCUGAUCGGUGGCUUCCAACGACAUCUCGAUCUUCAUUCUUCUUGAUGUCUCCACUGCACCGGAAUCAACCAUUGGUACACUGUGUGAGUUCAACAAUCCAUUUCAGCCAUAUAUAAAGCAGAUGCCCACAUCACACUUUCGGUUAUCUGCCCUCACACGCGUACGUCAUUUUUCUUCACUCAUCAUUGUUUGCUUCCACCGCCUCACCAGCUUUUCAGUCAGCAUCAACAUCGCCGUAGUCAACCAAUGAGGAGAACUUGGUUUGUGCUAUGGUUCGAUUUAGGUGAUUAGGGUUGGGGGUGAUGCCUACUCGAUUGGAGCCAUUACUAUUAUGAAAGCUUAUUAUAGAAAGUGUUUGAGUUUCCUCUGUGGUUUGAUUAAUGCAUCAAUGAAAUUUUCUGACUAAAUCACUGUCUCUGUUAUCAUCAGGUCCACCAAGAAACUUUGUAGAAAUUGCACCAGAAGCAGUGAAGAAGAUCCAAUUUAGUUUAACAGUAUUCUUGGGAAAGGUGAUGCAAGGAUAAUCAACAUUCAAAGUGUCUCAGGAGCCACAAUUGGGAUUCUAUCUGAUACUGCCUCCAAGAUUCAUCAUCACUUAUAUCUAAAACUAUUGGGUACUGCUGACGAAAUCAAAAUUGCUGAACUCCUCAUUACAGAUGUAAUCACAGAGGAAUUUUGAGAAGGUAUUUGGUUGAUCUAGUGGAGAUGCGGUGGCCGACAAACAUAGCUCAAGUUUCUCUCUUUAGGAAUCGUAUAAGUAGAGAACUUAUGAUCUUGAAAGCCAUAGAAGAAGGUUCAAAAACUUUGUUUAAUAUCGUUGCAUAUACAUAUUCUGACGUUGAGUGCAAUCAUUGGGUGAUCAUUGCAUCUACUGUGAGGCUCCAUGUUGAGCAUCUUGACCAUCGAAAGAAAGUGCCUAAGUUUUUCAGGUAUCUGCUCUUGAGAAGGUUGGUAUGGUACCUUCAUCUAUUAAAUUUCAUAUGGGUAAAUUGAUGUAUGCAAUUAUAGUCUAAGAUCUUAAGUGAAAAACAUUUUGUUUAUCCCUAUCAUGUUUUAAAUUACUUUCAAGCUUUAGUUGAUGCCUUCAGUUUUGCAUUAAAUCAAUUCAACAGUUGAAGGCUAUAA